rnacentral:rRNA from 1 species
UGGGGAAUAUUGGACAAUGGGCGAAAGCCUGAUCCAGCAAUGCCGCGUGAGUGAUGAAGGCCUUAGGGUUGUAAAGCUCUUUUACCCGGGAAGAUAAUGACUGUACCGGGAGAAUAAGCCCCGGCUAACUCCGUGCCAGCAGCCGCGGUAAUACGGAGGGGGCUAGCGUUGUUCGGAAUUACUGGGCGUAAAGCGCACGUAGGCGGUUUUGUAAGUUAGAGGUGAAAGCCUGGAGCUCAACUCCAGAAUUGCCUUUAAGACUGCAUCACUUGAACGUCGGAGAGGUGAGUGGAAUUCCGAGUGUAGAGGUGAAAUUCGUAGGUAUUCGGAAGAACACCAGUGGCGAAGGCGGCUCACUGGACGACUGUUGACGCUGAGGUGCGAAGGCGUGGGGAGCAAACAGGAUUAGAUACCCUGGUAGUCCACGCCGUAAACGAUGAUAACUAGCUGUCCGGGCUCUUGGAGCUUGGGUGGCGCAGCUAACGCAUUAAGUUAUCCGCCUGGGGAGUACGGCCGCAAGGUUA